rnacentral:rRNA from 2 species
GUUANUAAGCUGUGCGGUAUGCCUAACACAUGCAAGUCGAACGAGCUCCGUUGAAUGACGUGCUUGCACUGUAUUUCAACAAUGAAGCGAGUGGCGAACUGGUGAGUAACACGUGUGGGAAUCUGCCCAGAAGCAGGGGAUAACACUUGGUAAACAGGUGCUAAUACCGUAUAACAACAAAAUCCGCAUGGAUUUUGUUUGAAAGGUGGCUUCGGCUAUCACUUCUGGAUGAUCCCGCGGCGUAUUAGUUAGUUGGUGAGGUAAAGGCCCACCAAGACGAUGAUACGUAGCCGACCUGAGAGGGUAAUCGGCCACAUUGGGACUGAGACACGGCCCAAACUCCUACGGGAGGCAGCAGUAGGGAAUCUUCCACAAUGGACGAAAGUCUGAUGGAGCANUGCCGCNUGAGUNAAGAAGGGUUUCGGCUCGUAAAACUCUGUUGUUAAAGAAGAACACNUUUGAAGAGUAACUGUUCAAGGGUUNACGGUAUUUANCCAGAAAGCCAC